GACGAACGCUGGCGGCGUGCUUAACACAUGCAAGUCGAACGGAAAGGCCCUGCUUGCAGGGUACUCGAGUGGCGAACGGGUGAGUAACACGUGGGUGAUCUGCCCUCCACUUCGGGAUAAGCCUGGGAAACUGGGUCUAAUACCGGAUAGGAGCCAUUUUUAGUGAUAUGGUUGGAUAGUUUUUUUCGGUGUAGGAUGAGCUCGCGGCCUAUCAGCUUGUUGGUGGGGUAAUGGCCUACCAAGGCGGCGACGGGUAGCCGGCCCGAGGGGGUGGACGGCCACAUUGGGACUUGGAUACGGGCCAGACUCCCACGGGAGGCAAGAGGGGGGAAUUAUGCACAAAGGGCGCGAGCCUGAUGCAGCGACGCCGCGUGGGGGAUGACGGCCUUCGGGUUGGAAACUCCUUUCGCUAGGGACGAAGCUUUUUGUGACGGUACCUAGAUAAGAAGCACCGGCUAACUACGUG
rnacentral:rRNA from 1 species